AUGUUUCUCAGUUUCCUCUUUCAGAAACGAGAGAUUUUUCAAGACCUUGCUCCACUGCUGUGGCACUACUUUGGCACUGUUGCUGCACUGCUCCAGGAGAUUGUGUCAAUUUACCCUUCACUUUCACCUCCUACUUUGUCGCCAGUUGCAUCAAACCGUGUCUGCAAUGCACUUGCACUUCUUCAGUGUGUUGCUUCACACCCUGAGACCAGGAUCCCGUUCUUGAAUGCUCACAUCCCACUAUACCUGUACCCGUUCCUGAAUACUACCAGCAAGACAAGACCUUUUGAGUACUUGAGGCUUACCAGCUUGGGUGUUAUUGGUGCUCUUGUGAAGGAAUCUCAACAGGAACUGUUAUUUUUGAAGCAAACAGGCUAA
rnacentral:rRNA from 1 species